rnacentral:lncRNA from 1 species
UCAUGCUUCACUUUUAAAAAUUUGUAUUUUAACACUACUAUUGAAAGAAACAAACACCUUAAAUAGAGGUUAUCAUUAUGUGGUCUCAUUUUUAAUAGGAAUAAGAAUGAAAGUUUCUAUUUUGCUGACUCCUAUUUCUUUAAAAUAUUCAAUGAUUUCUGUUUGGGUUAUGCAGACGUUUAAUUGAGAUCUGGCUGAAGCAAUGUAUAGGAAGGACCUUCACCCUUAAUAAAAACACCUAGAGUUAAAACUACUUUCAAAAGUAGUAAAAACUGCAGAAGAAUACAUAGUAAAAGCUUGGAUUGCAAGUAACUUGUUCUGCAAGAUGAGCAAACAUUUCUAGUAAGUUUUAACUUGAUAAAUGAGUGAUGUUUGAAAUAUGAGUACAUGAUCACAACUGAGCCAGUGGUUCCCCCACCUCGCCUCAAGAUUGUCCCCCAAUGGGCUAGGGAUUUAGCUCAGUGGUGCCACCGCCUGCCUCAAAAGUGCAAGGUCCUGAGUUCAAUCCCUGGUACCAAAAAAAAGAUUGUCCCCCCAGCAGCAAGAGGUUAUGGAGAAGAUCUCAUCUGCAGAGGAGUAGAAAAAAGCAGAGAAAUCCCUCAGUUCAAAUGAGAUUAGGGAGAUGUGUAAAAUGUGGGAGACUGCAUCAAGUUUUGUAGAAAAGCACCACCCGUACAAGGCUGCAAGCGAUGAACUUGUUCAAUCACAAUGCAAUGUCACAUUUUUGAGAAGUCCUCUACAGGAGGCAAAAGCAAGUGUCAUUGGAGAGAUUCCUUGUUUCAGCUGCAUGAAAAGAAAGACUCCAGUGAGCCAGCAGAUAGCAGUGAUUGCCCAGGGAGUCAUCUAGACAGUAACCCUCCUCGCGUCUCCCUCACAGCAGCUGAAGCUUUUCAAAGGCCGUGUGUCUGCUUGGAUCACUGCUGUGCGGCAGCCUCAGGACUGUGCCCAGGGGACAGCAGGCCAAAGCCCUGCGGGGGACCAGGGCAGUGGUGACGGGAAUCUUCUCAUGAACUUGCAACUCGGAUCUUGUGGAUGCAUCACUGGCUAAUAGGUGUCUGUGAUGGGCUCACUUGUGCCCCCCAGAAGGCUUGUUGAAGUCUCAGCCAGAUGGGAGCUUCUGGGAGUGGAGUCUGCAGAUCUUCUUCAUGAGAUGAUGGAAUGGAGCAGGUGGGUCCUUAGUCCAGUCUGACGGUGUCCUUAUCCACGCCACCCCCGUGACUGGUGUCCUCCCCCAGGAAGGAAAUCUGGACGCAGACGUGGAUGGGUGCCUUGGAAGACGGAAGCAGAGGUCGGAGUGAUGCUGCCCAGGCCUGGGAGUCCUGGGGCUUCCUGAACUGGAAGCGGCGCGGAGUCUUCUGCCGAGGCUUGGGAGAAAGCGCAGCCCUGCAGACACGGUGAUGGCCUCCUGCACCCACCAAAGGGUUUUGAAGAAAAGGUGGGCCUUCUGUCAGAAUGGGCCUGUGAACCAAGAUUCCUGGGGUAUAGGAGGGCAAGAGAAGGCUGUUUCUUUAUUUGGCCGUGACCCUGACGAUCAGGAAAGGAACCAAUGACUGAGCGCCAUACUAAACAUGCUGCCUGCAAGAAAUUCAUGGCCACCCUGUGUGCCUUUGAGACACUCAGCUCUUGCAAAACCAAGGCUCCUCUGAUUUGCGAUUGGAAAAGCAAAGUGGGACUCACUGCAGACUGCCAAACAACAAACCGUUACUAGCAAGCCGGGUGGAAAAGUAUCCACGUUGGCCAAGCAGCCGGGACUGGGAGCUGUCAGCCUGGGCCUGCAGGACAGAAAUCGUUUCCAUCACGAGUCCUGGCAGCCAAUAGACUUACCGGGACUGGACCAGCUUCUUGCAUGGGGAGAGUGGAGGCUCAUGGGGGAGGCGCCUGUGUGUUGAGAGCCACAGUCUCCGUGUCCUGCCAGCACACGGCAAGGGCAGCGUCCGCCUCUCUACCUGCACUGUUCUGCCCCUCCCUGCCUGUGUGGUGUUCUCUCCAAGAAUAUCUUUUUCUCUUUUCCUGAUUUACUUCACUCUUGCUCAUUCUUCAAGAAUUGGCCAGUUUCCACCAUUACCUUUAAUCUUCCCCUCCAGGGUCAGUGCCUGCCCCUGCCUCUGUCUAGCUCCACUAUGCUGAUGCCUCAUAGCUGGCAGCCUUGGUGUCCCGGGCUUUGCAGGAAGCAGACUUGUGGGCUUGGGGCAUAGCCGGGUGGUAGAGUGCAUGCUUAGCCCAUGUGAGCCCCUGGGUUCGAUUCCCAGCACCGAAGAAAAAAGAAAAAGGAGGGUGGGUUCUUUGCCCUGUGCAGAUCUCCCGGCCCAGAGCGUGGUCUCCCGGCCCCAGGUGGUUUGGGUGCGCUGUGGCUGCAGAAGCCCAGCUGUCACAUCUCUGGGGUGACCUUUGGAGCAGCAGCAUCAGUGGCACCUGGAACAUGUUAGAGGUGCGGGUUUGGGCCCUCCCCCAAAGCGGCCGAAUCUGAGUCCCUGGAAGCUGCCUCCGGUUGGGGACCGCUGCUCUUGUCCUUUGGCUUAGCGUCUGUCAUGGGCCUUCAUUCUGUGGGUGUUUGCUGUCCCCUUCAACAUGGGGGCCUGCCUGCAGAAGCCAUAUCAGUCAAGGUUGAGUGUGUUUCUGGUGCUGAUCCAGCUGUGCGCAUGUGUGACAUGUCCCGUGACCCCCGCACUUGGCCACCUGCAAGGCUCUGAACAAGGAGGUGGGGUGUGGGGAGGGGUCGGCAGCUGGGGGAGGGCCUCCCUGCACCCCUCUCCAGGGCUGAGCUCUUGGGGUGUUACGUGCGCUUCCUCUCUCAAAUGGAGACCGUCAGUACCAUGUGAUUUUGUUAUCUCAGCCUGACUGGAUCCAGAAUUCGGUCUCCCAUAGUUUUAUGUGGUUUUCCUUCCUGGAAAAAAGUCAUUUUUAUUUGCUAUUAAAAUAAAGCUGUGCUGGUGAAUUUC